rnacentral:misc_RNA from 1 species
AACGCACCUUGCACCCUUUGGUAUUCCGAAGGGUACACCCGUUUGAGUGUCAUUGUAAUCUCACUACAACUACUUUAUUGUUGUUUGUAUGUGGAUCUGGAUGUUGCCGUGUAACAAACGGCUCGUCUGAAAUGCCUGAGUGUACCCUGCUUUGCGGCGUAUUCGGUGUGAUAAAUCUUCACCGGAGUUGACUUUCGGGUCGCGUUCUGCUUAACACGGCUCUAUGCUUCCAACCGUCCUAACAAGACAACCUUUGACAAUUUGACCUCAAAUCGGGUGGGACUACCCGCUGAACUUAA